rnacentral:misc_RNA from 1 species
GAAAAGCAGAAAACACAGCCAAUACAGCAUUAUAUAGGUGUUGCUUUCGUUACUACAAUCUCUGCAUCAGCUGUUCGAAAUGACUACCGAAGCAUGUCAUUGCUGUAGCGGGGUGUAACUGUUCAUGAAACUGAGAGAGCCUCGAGCUUGGGAAGGAGACUUCGCCAUGCAUCGGCAACCCCGUUUGCCAAACGUGCCUGUCCUUUUGCAAAUUCAUGGAAAGCAAGCCCCAUGUCUAGUGUUUUCUGU